rnacentral:rRNA from 1 species
UACGUAGGGGGCAAGCGUUGUCCGGAUUUACUGGGCGUAAAGCGCCUGUAGGCGGGGCGGGAAGUCGGACGUGAAAGGCUGGGGCUCAACCCCAGUAUGCCGUUCGAAACUCUCGCUCUUGAGGGUCGGAGAGGAGCGUGGAAUUCCCGGUGUAGCGGUGAAAUGCGUAGAGAUCGGGAGGAACACCCGUGGCGAAGGCGGCUUCCUGGACCGACACUGACGCUGAGGCGCGAAAGCUAGGGGAGCAAACGGG